AUGCGCGCGAUUGAGAUGCCGAGGGUGUUGAGUCCAGCAAUCUGCAUGACAUUGAUCAAGGUGACGUUGGAUCCAACCUUGUUGGUCACCCUAGGCUUGUCGAGGGCGGCUGCCUUGAAGAAGUCAUCAGCGUUGACCUCCAUCGGGUUCUUGCAAACAAAUCCAUUGACACGCACUGGGUGCAUAGAAGAGAUGUACAGGGUAAGCUUAAGUAUUACUAGAAAGCCGUUUCAACAUGCAUAUAAUUUUCAGGAAUUUAUUUCAACAUAUGUAUUUGGUGAUAGCGGGACAGGAAAGCAUGAAGUAAGCAGUACCUGGUGA
rnacentral:rRNA from 1 species